rnacentral:misc_RNA from 1 species
ACAGACUUCAUGAUGAAUAGAAAAAUUCAUAUAAGUUGGAGUUAGUUGUUUCUGAAGUGAUUUAAUUAAACACAGUUGUUUGAAUUUGAAAUGGCCUGGUAAUACCACGAAGCAUGUCACUAAUAUUGACAUCUAAUAGAGUUUCCCUCUGACUGAUGUUGUACUAUUUCAUUCCUUCAUUUCUCUGGGGAAAUUACUCAUUUUUUGCUCAUUAUGUUGUAAUUUUGUUUUUAGGUUACGAUUGGUAUAACGUAAUGUAAUGGAAUGUAAUCAACUAUGUAAUGGAAUCAGAAUUGUAAUGUAAUGAAUGUAUUAAGCAUUACAUUACUUUGUUUGGAAGAACAAAAAUGUGAUGCAAUCACCAUCACAAUAUCAUAUUUGUUUACAUAUACA